GGUUGCCAUGGAGACCGCCCGCCAGCGUCCCAAAAUGGCGGCGGCGGAGCCGCGCGGGGCCGCCGCUCUCCCCGCCGCCCUGGAAGGAAGGAAGGAAGGAAGGCAGACCGACCGCUAGCCUGAGGCGGCAGCGGCUUUAGCGACGGCUUGUCCUUGGGGAAGGAGCCCCUCCGUGCCGGUGCAGGACGCGGGGCCCCGCUAACGCCGCCGGGAGCGACCCGGGAAGCGCCGCCAGUAUCUGUUCUUGGGCUUGUUUUCAGCUGCCCAAAUAUAUCCUGAAAACCAACCAAAAUCAGUUAACAUAAACCAUGCAAAAAAAGCUUCAUAACUGUCAAGAGUAAGUAAGUUCAAAUUGUUCUGCAAAUGUUCAUUGUACAAAGCAUUACCAGGAAGCUGGUGUCAUUGAAAAAUAACUGGUUUAAAAAAUUCAGCUUUGAUUUUAUGGCAAUGAGACCAUUUGAGUAUUGUGUGGUGAAUGUAAGUAUUUGAAUAUAUCACUAUAUUUUCUGAAGCUAAUGCAUCUGAUUCCAGCAAAACUUUCCAAUUCACUCAAAUUUCAAUUCCUUACUCCUCAAGACACCCUCACAUAAGUAGUGUCUCCAGUUUUAACUUCUGUACAUGUAAAACUUCUGGAUGCUAGUUAACCUUUCUUCAGGCUAUGGCAUCUCCUGCAAAGAGACCUGUGUCAAAAAUAGCAGUUGAAGAUAUGUGCAUCACUGAUGUUCCAAGUUGUGUCUCAUGUAAAAUAUAUUUAGCCAUCCUGGGUUAGCAUGGAGGAGGCCUUGUUGUUGGCUCACGUUCCCAGGGUGCUGUUUUGCAGUUUCCUAAUAAAUAACAGUCUUUGCCUGAAAGGCCUCACAGUCUAAGCCUCCAACCUAGCACAGGGUUACAUGAAUGCUGAAACCUUCUACUUUGAACAGCCCUGUUCUUGGAAGUGAGUGGUUUCAGCACUGUCUGUUGUUAUUUUCUUUAAAAGCAAAAAGGGGAGUUUGUGGCUGCAUAGUGGAUUUGUAUGAAAGCUCCCAUCAUAACACUGUCCAGUGCUGCCCUUCUUUGAACAGUCUACUUGGGCUUUACAUAAGCAGUAAAUUCAGCUCCUCCAGGAUGAAGUUAUCAAUUUACUGGGCAUAUCUUAUAAUGCUCCAAGCUUGUGGACCUGUGGUUAUGGCCAGGAUUUCCAGUUAUCAGCUGAAUAUAAAGUCAAACUGUCACAGAACCAGAAAUCCUGUACAAAUACAGAAGAUCUUAAGAACGUGUUAGGGCAAGAAACUUAGUUGCAUAAAUAAGCAUUCACAGAAUGCAAUUCACCCAGCUGGAUUGUGUGGAAGGAGAGAUCUUCCGAGCCAUCAGCGAAAAUAAUUUUUUUCAAGAAGCUAUUUUAAGUCAGCAAUCAUAAUUUUACAAAUGCACAGAAGCUAUUCCACAUAUUUCCCCUGUGUGGGCAUCUGCCAGUUCCACUGCAGAAAUAUAAGACUGAAAGAGACAACUUCAGGUCAUCAAGUCCCAGUGCCUGCUGUUUCAUCCAGCUACAUAAUAGAUCUCCAUAGCAUAAAUUUGAUGUGCUUCAAAAGCAGUGAAGCUUUUUUUCCUCUGCUACUUCACACAGAACAACUGCUCCAGAUCAUCACUUCUCUGAUGGUUAGAAGUGCAGUUACACAGAUUAAUUUACAUUUAUUUUGUUUGGAUAUCUUUUGAGUAGGUAACAAUGCUGUAUAUAUAUGUAUAUAUAUAUAUAUGAGAUAUAUUGUAUAUAGGUAAUAAAUGCGCAUUCUGGAUAGAGCUUGUUUUGUUUUAUCAGACUCCACUUGUGAAACAGACUCCCUUCUUCUUGGUCACUCUCAUUUUCUCAUUGCACUUAUUCCCAUUAAUAAUUUUGUUCUUAAUAAUAAUAAGCCUAAUAAGUACCAUGUGCAAAAGCAUUGUUACUUCCCCAUGUCUUCUGAAAAAAACUGGGUGAUUUAAAUUUUAGGUUUGUAUUUAACUUUCUCUACCAAAAUCACAUUAAUGACUCUUGAUCAUCCUUCGAUUAGUUAUUAUUCCAAUGUCUUUCUCCUCUGUCAGCUUUCAAUUUAUAACCUUUUGGUUUAUGGCAGAAAUUAUUUCCAGAUGAAUGACUUUGCCAUUUGUACUUUUCAAUUUAUUUUUUGUUUGUUUGUUUGUUUCCUUUUUUCCUCUCCAGGACUGCUCUGAGUUGUUAUGAAGGAGAAGUCGGUGUACAUGUCAGAAUAAACAUAAUAAAUAUAAAAUCAUUCUUUGCCAUAAAAUGUGUUCUAGGAAUCCUGCUAGUGCUCAUGGAAAUGGUGAAUAGUUUUUGUGCUGUUUGAGUGCAUGUACUAUUACAUAGAAUGGGAAUCUUUUUGUUCAAGACUGACACGAGGGAUGGCAACUUGUUUCAUGUAUACCUUUUACUGUACAUGUUUUUCAAUCUUGAAAUGCCAAAUUAAUAUUUGAUAUGCCAGUUGUAAUUUGGCAACAUUUAUCACAUUGUACAAGGCAAGUGAUUAAUCCUAUGGCUUCCAACAUUAAAUGUAAGAUGGCUUGAGAGAGCCACUCUAAUAACCUUCCAAAAUAACAUUUCUUAUAAAUUGUCUAACAGAUGAUAAGUACAGGUUUUGAAAAGUGCAAGAGAGGAAUCCAGAUGGUGGGGUAGUGUAGGAAAGAUCAGUCACUCAUUUUGGUCAAACAAGAAACAAGGAAUAUAGACACACAUCCCCCACCCUCAAAAAAAAAAAAAAAAAAAGUCUGGUGCUUAAUCUGCUUAUAGGGCAGGCUGAUAACUGGAAUGAUGAGGCUGGUAACAAAAGAAAUGUAAUGGGAAAAUGAUCCGCUCAACAUGUAAUUAAUACUAGCAUCUGUCACCAUUUAAUGAAUGCUACACUAAUCAGAAGAUUUUGUCAUGUUAGUAAAAUGUUCAGCUACUUACCCACAAAAGACCAGCUUGGUACAUUCACAAGGCUGCCGUGGUUCUGUGCAGUAUUCCACACAUGAUCUGCUCGUGUAACAGCCAGGACUCUGUCAAAUAUGCAACUGCAGAAUUGUGUGUUUGGCCAGAGAUCAGCAACUGGGUUCUCUCAAAGAUAUACACAGGAGAUGUAGAUGAACAGUGUAAGGAACUGGGCAAACAGUUCUCAUGAAUGUUCUUGUUCUUUACCCCUCAUUGCUCCUAUUGUUUAGUGUUCGCCUCUAUGUCUUCAAUCAGUUUCUGAUUAAAUCAAUACAUUCUGAGCACAGCACAUUAUUUUGGAUACUGAGUACUAUAAUAUUUGCUUAAAAGAUCCUAUAAUUAGUUGUUUCAAUUUUAAAAAUAAAGGUUUUUUUCUGGCUUU